rnacentral:tRNA from 1 species
GGUGAAAUAGCUCAGUUGGGAAAGCAUUAGACUGAAGAUCUAAAGGUCCCUGGUUCAAUCCUAGGUUUCAGCA